GGAGAGAUGGCUCAGAGGUUAAGAGCACUGACUGCUUUUCUGGAGGUCCUGAGUUCAAAUCCCAGCAACCACA
rnacentral:tRNA from 1 species